rnacentral:rRNA from 1 species
GAAACGACUGCUAAGACUGGAUAGGAGACAAGAAGGCAUCUUCUUGUUUUUAAAAGACCUAGCAAUAGGUAUGCUUAGGGAGGAGCUUGCGUCACAUUAGUUAGUUGGUGGGGUAAAGGCCUACCAAGACUAUGAGGUGUAGCCGGGCUGAGAGGUUGAACGGCCACAUUGGGACUGAGACACGGCCCAAACUCCUACGGGAGGCAGCAGUAGGGAAUUUUCGGCAAUGGAGGAAACUCUGACCGAGCAACGCCGCGUGAACGAUGAAGUAUUUCGGUACGUAAAGUUCUUUUAUUAGGGAAGAAUAAAUGAUGGAAAAAUCAUUCUGACGGUACCUAAUGAAUAAGCCCCGGCUAACUAUGUGCCAGCAGCCGCGGUAAUACAUAGGGGGCAAGCGUUAUCCGGAAUUAUUGGGCGUAAAGGGUGCGUAGGCGGUUAAAUAAGUUUAUGGUCUAAGUGCAAUGCUCAACAUUGUGAUGCCAUAAAAACUGUUUAGCUAGAGUAAGAUAGAGGCAAGUGGAAUUCCAUGUGUAGUGGUAAAAUGCGUAAAUAUAUGGAGGAACACCAGUAGCGAAGGCGGCUUGCUGGGUCUUUACUGACGCUGAGGCACGAAAGCGUGGGGAGCAAACAGGAUUAGAUACCCUGGUAGUCCACGCCGUAAACGAUGAGUACUAAACGUUGGGUAAAACCAGUGUUGAAGUUAACACAUUAAGUACUCCGCCUGAGUAGUACGUACGCAAGUAUGAAACUUAAAGGAAUUGACGGGACUCCGCACAAGCGGUGGAUCAUGUUGUUUAAUUCGAAGGUACCCGAAAAACCUCACCAGGUCUUGACAUGCUUCUGCAAAGCUGUAGAAACACAGUGGAGGUUAUCAGUUGCACAGGUGGUGCAUGGUUGUCGUCAGCUCGUGUCGUGAGGUGUUGGGUUAAGUCCCGCAACGAGCGCAACCCUUAUUGUUAGUUACCAGCACGUAAUGGUGGGGACUUUAGCAAGACUGCCAGUGAUAAAUUGGAGGAAGGUGGGGACGACGUCAAAUCAUCAUGCCCCUUAUGACCUGGGCUACAAACGUGAUACAAUGGCUGUUACAAAGGGUAGCUGAAGCGCAAGUUUUUGGCGAAUCUCAAAAAAACAGUCUCAGUUCGGAUUGAAGUCUGCAACUCGACUUCAUGAAGUUGGAAUCGCUAGUAAUCGCGAAUCAGCAUGUCGCGGUGAAUACGUUCUCGGGGUUUGUACACACCGCCCGUCA